rnacentral:rRNA from 1 species
AAUGAACGCUGGCGGCAGGCCUAACACAUGCAAGUCGAACGGGUCCUUCGGGACUAGUGGCGGACGGGUGAGUAACGCGUGGGAACGUGCCCCUUGGUACGGAAUAGCCCCGGGAAACUGGGAGUAAUACCGUAUGUGGUCGAGAGACGAAAGAUUUAUCGCCAAGGGAUCGGCCCGCGUUGGAUUAGGUAGUUGGUGGGGUAAUGACCUACCAAGCCGACGAUCCAUAGCUGGUUUGAGAGGAUGAUCAGCCACACUGGGACUGAGACACGGCCCAGACUCCUACGGGAGGCAGCAGUGGGGAAUCUUAGACAAUGGGGGAAACCCUGAUCUAGCCAUGCCGCGUGAUCGAUGAAGGCCUUAGGGUUGUAAAGAUCUUUCAGGUGGGAAGAUAAUGACUGUACCACCAGAAGAAGCCCCGGCUAACUCCGUGCCAGCAGCCGCGGUAA